rnacentral:rRNA from 1 species
CGCCCUUAGAGUUUGAUCAUGGCUCAGGACGAACGCUGGCGGCGUGCCUAAUACAUGCAAGUCGAACGCAGCUUGCUUUGGUAAGAUGAGUGGCGAACGGGUGAGUAACACGUGGGUAACCUGCCUAUCAGAGGGGGAUAACACUUGGAAACAGGUGCUAAUACCGCAUAGAUUUCUUUCGCAUGAAAAGAGAGGAAAGACGUACGUGUCACUGAUAGAUGGACCCGCGGUGCAUUAGCUAGUUGGUGAGGUAACGGCUCACCAAGGCCAUGAUGCAUAGCCGACCUGAGAGGGUGAUCGGCCACACUGGGACUGAGACACGGCCCAGACUCCUACGGGAGGCAGCAGUAGGGAAUCUUCGGCAAUGGACGAAAGUCUGACCGAGCAACGCCGCGUGAGUGAAGAAGGUUUUCGGAUCGUAAAACUCUGUUGUUAGAGAAGAAUAGGUAGGAGUGACUUCCUGCCAUGACGGUAUCUAACCAGAAAGCCACGGCUAACUACGUGCCAGCAGCCGCGGUAAUACGUAGGUGGCAAGCGUUGUCCGGAUUUAUUGGGCGUAAAGCGAGCGCAGGCGUUUCUUAAGUCUGAUGUGAAGCCCCCGGCUUAACCGGGAGGGUCAUUGGAAACUGGGAGACUUGAG